rnacentral:rRNA from 1 species
GAAACAGGUGCUAAUACCGUAUAACACUAUUUUCCGCAUGGAAGAAAGUUGAAAGGCGCUUUUGCGCCACUGAUGGAUGGACCCGCGGUGCAUUAGCUAGUUGGUGAGGUAACGGCUCACCAAGGCCACGAUGCAUAGCCGACCUGAGAGGGUGAUCGGCCACACUGGGACUGAGACACGGCCCAGACUCCUACGGGAGGCAGCAGUAGGGAAUCUUCGGCAAUGGACGAAAGUCUGACCGAGCAACGCCGCGUGAGUGAAGAAGGUUUUCGGAUCGUAAAACUCUGUUGUUAGAGAAGAACAAGGAUGAGAGUAAAACGUUCAUCCCUUGACGGUAUCUAACCAGAAAGCCACGGCUAACUACGUGCCAGCAGCCGCGGUAAUACGUAGGUGGCAAGCGUUGUCCGGAUUUAUUGGGCGUAAAGCGAGCGCAGGCGGUUUCUUAAGUCUGAUGUGAAAGCCCCCGGCUCAACCGGGGAGGGUCAUUGGAAACUGGGAGACUUGAGUGCAGAAGAGGAGAGUGGAAUUCCAUGUGUAGCGGUGAAAUGCGUAGAUAUAUGGAGGAACACCAGUGGCGAAGGCGGCUCUCUGGUCUGUAACUGACGCUGAGGCUCGAAAGCGUGGGGAGCGAACAGGAUUAGAUACCCUGGUAGUCC